rnacentral:lncRNA from 1 species
GCAAAGUGGGACGGCCGACGAUCAGGCGAUUGGCGUCUAGGAUGACUUCAAUGGUGGAAAGGGGAUCCGUGGAUCUGGGCGAAUUUGCACAAGAGUGAGGGAAGGCGGACGGAUCUGCAAUGCGAAGGAUAGAGCCGAUGAGUUAUUUAGUUAGUUGCGGAAGCGCUUGUUGACGAUGGCGGCGGUCGCUGGGAGGAUCAGCGGCAAGGCUGGUGUGCACUGAUAAGCCGAGGACAAGUCCGUGCGAGCGACAGAUAAGAGGGAGCAGGGUGUGUGUGGAUGAGGUAGCAGAGAGGGUGUGGUGUCGUAUGUUCAGGCGUUGAAGGUAAUUCCAUGCUGGCGGGUGCAUUUUCUAGUGUGCUCACUUUCCCGAGACGAGCGAGCAACGAAGGAACCCAGGGCUGUGUGGCGGUAUGGAUGACGGACGAGUAGACAGGAGAGUGGGGUGCGACAAGGUGGUCAGGAGGAGGUGACGUCUAGGAGAAAGCGGACAUUCGUUCGCAUUCGAGGCUUAUACGGUCAAGUGUUUGCGUCAUCUCAGGUACGCCGGGGUACCGAUGGAGUGGACCAGUGUCCGUUGGGCUGUUAUGGUAGUUGUGGGAGGGUUUUUGUUUCCAGGUUGGGAAUCGAUUUCGGAUCGGGGAUAGCAGUAGCGGGGUCGAG